AGAGUUUGAUCCUGGCUCAGAUUGAACGCUGGCGGCAUGCCUUACACAUGCAAGUCGAACGGCAGCACGGGGGCAACCCUGGUGGCGAGUGGCGAACGGGUGAGUAAUACAUCGGAACGUGUCCUGUAGUGGGGGAUAGCCCGGCGAAAGCCGGAUUAAUACCGCAUACGAUCUACGGAAGAAAGCGGGGGAUCCUU
rnacentral:rRNA from 1 species